rnacentral:rRNA from 1 species
CUCAACUCAGUCGUGAUUACCCGCUGAACUUAAGCAUAU